UCCUUGAUCUGAGUUUGGUAGAAACUAAUUUUGGAAAAUAUGGACAUACAGACUGACAAGGGUAAAACUUUAUGGCCUCUCUGAUGCUGCGGGAGCAUAAACAUUUAUACACCAAUGCAAGUUCAAAAUAAAGUUACAAAUAACAAACUCCACCAUUUUAACCAUAUCACAAAGUAGAAGCUUCUUGUUUCUGAUUGCAAAAUAUCUUUCUAAAACCAGAUGUGAAUAUCUUCUAUUUCCAAUAUUUUGAUGAAGGUUUAGUUAUGAGACAGUUCUGUUAUUUGUCAAGAGGAAUUGGGACAUGUAUGUAGUGAACAAAAGCUGAAAGUUUGGAUACAGAUACAACAGUUAAGGACUUGAGGUUAAUCCUUUUAUUAGAUUUAAAAGAGAGGCCAUACCAAAGGGACAUUCGCCUCAUUAGCUGAAAAAAAUCUGACAAUUCCAUGGUAAAAAAAUAAAA
rnacentral:lncRNA from 1 species